GUCACUUUCAAACUCCUAUGGCAACAUGGGUGUUGUUUCCUACGAAUUGAUUGUCACCUCCCCUAUCCCGCCGGCUAAGCUGUAUAAGCCUUUGUCCUUGAUUCCGAUAUUCUCCUACCAAUGAUUGUGCCACAGGCCAUUAAGAGUGUUGAAAUCCUUGAAGGAGAUGGAGGGCCUGGAACCAUAAAAAAAGUUACUUUUGGACAAUGUAGCCAAUUCAAGUACUCGAAGCAUAAGAUUGAAGCGAUUGAUAAAGAGAACUUAAAAUUCAGCCAUAGCGUGAUUGAAGGCGACAUGUUAGUGAUUGAAAAAAUAACUUACGAUAUCAAGUUUGAGCAAUCCCCUGAUGGAGGAUGCAUCUGCAAG
rnacentral:misc_RNA from 1 species